rnacentral:snoRNA from 1 species
CACAAUGGAUAAGAUUUUAAAAAAAUAAAAAAUAAUGGAGGGACUUUGACAGCCCAGGUCAAACCGUACCUGCAGCUGCCACUCGCCUUUCCUAUAAAC